GGCAGACGGGUGAGUAACAUGUAGGUAUCUGCCCUUUGGCCUGGAAUAACACGAGGAAACUUGUGCUAAUACCGGAUAAGUCUUUACGGAGAAAGCUUUAUGCACCAUUGGAUGAGCCUGCACUUGAUUAGUUUGUUGGUGGGGUAAUGGCCUACCAAGACUGUGAUCAAUAGCUGAUUUGAGAGGAUGAUCAGCCACAUUGGGACCGAGACACGGCCCAAACUCCUACGGGAGGCAGCAGUGGGGAAUCUUGCACAAUGGAGGAAACUCUGAUGCAGCGAUGCUGCGUGAGUGAAGAAGGCCUUUGGGUUGUAAAGCUCUUUCGUCGGGGAAGAAAAUGACUGUACCCGAAUAAGAAGGUCCGGCUAACUUCGUGCCAGCAGCCGCGGUAAUACGAAGGGACCUAGCGUAGUUCGGAAUUACUGGGCUUAAAGAGUUCGUAGGUGGUUGAAAUAGUUGGUGGUGAAAUCCCAGAGCUUAACUCUGGAACUGCCAUCAAAACUUUUCAGCUAGAGUAUGAUAGAGGAAAGCAGAAUUUCUAGUGUAGAGGUGAAAUUCGUAGAUAUUAGAAAGAAUACCAAUUGCGAAGGCAGCUUUCUGGAUCAUUACUGACACUGAGGAACGAAAGCAUGGGUAGCGAAGAGGAUUAGAUACCCUCGUAGUCCAUGCCGUAAACGAUGUGUGUUAGACGUUGGAAAUUUAUUUUCAGUGUCGCCAGGGAAACCGAU
rnacentral:rRNA from 1 species